UUGGGUCCUUGCGCUUGCACAGCAGGUGGCGAAACCUCUGAGCUAAACCCCGGCUCCAUUAUCUCUUACUGCCUAGUAUCUCUCCACCUCACAACCAGCACCCCAGCUAGCUCCUGACAACUGCCGGUCUACUCCUUGCUUUUAUAAGCAUGACCAUUGUGGAUUCCACAUAGUGUUUAGAAAUGGAGGGAGAGAAGAAGGAGGGGAGGGAAGGAGGAUGAAGAAAGGAACUGAGAUGUGUUAUGCACAUGCACGGACUCCACAGAGCGAUUGCAAAUGUAAACAUUAUGCACUGCAAACACAUACACAAAGCAAAACAGAACACCAGGA